GAUGAAGAACGUAGUGAAAUGCGAUAAGUAAUGUGAAUUGCAGAAUUCAGUGAAUCAUCGAAUCUUUGAACGCACAUUGCGCCCGCCAGUAUUCUGGCGGGCAUGCCUGUUCGAGCGUCAUUACAACCCUCAGGCCCCCGGGCCUGGCGUUGGAGAUCGGCGGAAGCCCCCUGUGGGCACACGCCGUCCCUCAAAUACAGUGGCGGUCCCGCCGCAGCUUCCAUUGCGUAGUAGCUAACACCUCGCAACUGGAGAGCGGCGCGGCCAUGCCGUAAAACACCCAACUUCUGAAUGUUGACCUCGAAUCAGGUAGGAAUACCCGCUGAACUUAAGCAUAUCAAUAAGCGGAGGA
rnacentral:misc_RNA from 1 species